rnacentral:rRNA from 1 species
AUUGAACGCUGGCGGCAGGCCUAACACAUGCAAGUCGAGCGGAUGAAGGGAGCUUGCUCCUGGAUUCAGCGGCGGACGGGUGAGUAAUGCCUAGGAAUCUGCCUGGUAGUGGGGGAUAACGUCCGGAAACGGGCGCUAAUACCGCAUACGUCCUGAGGGAGAAAGUGGGAGAUCUUCGGACCUCACGCUAUCAGAUGAGCCUAGGUCGGAUUAGCUAGUUGGUGGGGUAAAGGCCUACCAAGGCGACGAUCCGUAACUGGUCUGAGAGGAUGAUCAGUCACACUGGAACUGAGACACGGUCCAGACUCCUACGGGAGGCAGCAGUGGGGAAUAUUGGACAAUGGGCGAAAGCCUGAUCCAGCCAUGCCGCGUGUGUGAAGAAGGUCUUCGGAUUGUAAAGCACUUUAAGUUGGGAGGAAGGGCAGUAAGUUAAUACCUGGCUGUUUUGACGUUACCAACAGAAUAAGCACCGGCUAACUUCGU